GAUGAACGCUGGCGGCGUGCCUAAUACAUGCAAGUCGAGCGAACGGACGAGAAGCUUGCUUUUCUGAUGUUAGCGGCGGACGGGUGAGUAACACGUGGAUAACCUACCUAUAAGACUGGGAUAACUUCGGGAAACCGGAGCUAAUACCGGAUAAUAGUUUGAACCGCAUGGUUCAAAAGUGAAAGACGGUCUUGCUGUCACUUAUAGAUGGAUCCGCGCUGCAUUAGCUAGUUGGUAAGGUAACGGCUUACCAAGGCAACGAUGCAUAGCCGACCUGAGAGGGUGAUCGGCCACACUGGAACUGAGACACGGUCCAGACUCCUACGGGAGGCAGCAGUAGGGAAUCUUCCGCAAUGGGCGAAAGCCUGACGGAGCAACGCCGCGUGAGUGAUGAAGGUCUUCGGAUCGUAAAACUCUGUUAUUAGGGAAGAACAUAUGUGUAAGUAACUGUGCACAUCUUGACGGUACCUAAUCAGAAAGCCACGGCUAACUACGUG
rnacentral:rRNA from 1 species